GAUGAAGAACGUAGCGAAAUGCGAUACUUGGUGUGAAUUGCAGAAUCCCGUGAACCAUCGAGUCUUUGAACGCAAGUUGCGCCCGAAGCCAUUAGGCCGAGGGCACGCCUGCCUGGGCGUCACACGUCGUUGCCCCCCCAUCUAAUCCUUUGGGAUUGCGGGGGGCGGAUGAUGGCCUCCCGUGCGCCUCGUCGCGCGGUUGGCAUAAAUGCCAAGUCCUCGGCGACGCACGCCACGACAAUCGGUGGUUGCGAAACCUCGGUUGCCCGUUGUGUGCGGUCGUCGCGCAUCGAGGGCUCGAAAAAAUUGCCGGGCUCCGGCUCGACUUUCAACGCGACCCCAGGUCAGGCGGGGUUACCCGCUGAAUUUAAGCAUAUCAAUAAGCGGAGGA
rnacentral:misc_RNA from 1 species